CUGCUGUGUUCUGUAUGAAACUAAAUUAAACUUAUAUGAAACCAGAUGAAACUAUGAAGUAUGAAUGUUCCAUCGGAAAUAUUGAAACCACUCCAGUUUUAUUGAUACACGAAUUGUAUUUGAAAUAAUUUGCACCAUAACUCAACCUCAACUCUACAACAAUGUAGAACAACUGAAGAAACAUUCAGUGACAGCAACACCUACCUACGUGAAUAACCAUAAGAAGAAUUCCAAUCUCCAGUCUAAAUGAGGAUUGACAUUCAUUUCAGUUCCAGAUUAGGCAGCAAAAUAUCAGUGUUGAAGAAAAGCAAUGUUCUAAGCAGGAAAAUAGGCCUGAAUGUCCACCAUCCAUUGCUAGCUGUUAACCUUUUCAUUCAACAUUUUCUACAGCCAAUUUCUAAAAAUGUGAACAACAAGAUUAUAGAACUCUGGAAUCUCUAGGUCAAGACCGACAUGGGCGUGAAUGCUGCUGGCCAAGACGCAAUUUGAAAAGCCCCUCUAUCAUAAGCUAUACCAAGCUAUUUGAGGCAGGUUAUUCCCACUGUACAGUUGACAAAUGAGCAUAAGAACAAUUUGCUAAAGAGGAAUUUCAAACGAUUGUCAAUAUUGAGGAAGAAGGUGACGGUUCGAUGGAAUCAAAACAAGACAAAAUAGAAGCUCUCAUCAAAUUUGAGAACAUGCUCCUCAAGUUGCGAGUCUUCCGCCAUCCUGCGUGAUUGUUUAAAUUCUUGUGAAAUGCCCACUUUUUACGACACCAAAACCGAAAAGCUAAAAAGCUAAAGUCCCACUUCUUUCUCUGGUGAAGUUACGUCGCAUCUAGCUGACUGGUCUAAGGAUGGGUCCUUCCAAGAAAAACGAAAAGGACAACACGGUCAACGAUGGUUCUCUGUUAGCUAACCCUAUGCCCUUUAGCUGCUACCCUUUGAAAAUCUUCAGCGCAGCGAUACUGGAAUAGUGGAAUACCAACUGCAGCAUCACCUUCAACCGCACGCCAUUCAGUCAGCAAUACUCUUCCGUCGCCCUUGAGCAUAGGAGAGUAGGGCGUGCUACCAAUUAUCAUUCGACUUCCCAACCUACAGCCGGGUGGUCAACUCCCCACUGCUUACAAACACAAACGGAAUAUUGAUCUUUAGAUUGUUUGACUGUUUGUCCAUUUGUGAUGACGCCAUGUCGGUUUCUUGGGGCAGACGAGGUGAUGAUGAUUUUCGUCAGGAGAAUAUUGCUCGGAUGUCGUCAAAAGCCAUCCGUUCCUUGAGAUCCUUGGGCGAAUACUGGCUUUUGUUCCUGACAAAAGAGUGAAUUCCACUAACGUUCUGCUCCACCCGUAUCUUCGCGACGUACACUCAGCCAGCUUCAUUGCUUCACUGAGCACUUCCUAUGCUGCACAACUUUUCUUGCUUCACUGACAAGUUGGAUCACUUCAGUGUUCGCUUUCGUCCGCUGUGACACACCUGCAGUCACUCGCCACGGGAUUAUGCCCAGGUAAUGCAUAGGAGACGUCGAGGAGAUGGACACCAAAACAUCUCCAAAAUGUCAGCGCGG